UGUAAGAAAACUCAGGUAAACAACUCAGGAAAAAUAAUGUGUGAUCAAAAUACGAAGUUCAAAAAAGAUAUAGAGAUCAUGAAAAAGAACCAAACAGAAAUUCUGGAGCUAAAGUAUACAGUAAGUGAAAUUUAAAAAAGCAGUAGAGAGCUGCAAUAAGCAGACUUGAUCAUGCAGAAGAGACAAUCUGCAAACUCAAAGGAAAGUCAUUUAAACUUAUCUAGUCAGAGGGGAAAAAAAAGAAAGUGAACCAAUAUAUGAAAUCCAAAAAGGAAAAGAGAGAGAAAUAGGCAGAAAGUUUAUUUAAAUAAAUAAUUGUGGAAAACUUCCUAAGUAUUGGGAAAGGAACACACAUUCAAAUUUAUAAAGCUCAAAAAGCUCCUAAAGUAUCAACCCAAAGAAGACUACUCCAGAACACACUAUAAUCAAAUAUUCAAAAUUCAAAAACGAAAAUAUUUUGAAAGCAACAAGAGCAAAACUACACAUCACAUAUAAGGGAAGCUUCAUAAUACCAUCACUGGAUUUUUCAGUAGAAAGCUUGCAGGCCAGGAGAGAAUGAGAUGAUAUAGUCAACAUAAUACUGAAAUUUUUAAAAAGUCAUCUAAGAAUACUAUACAUGGGGGGGCAGCAGACUGACCUGCAGCAGGCCUGCUUCGGCCGCUUCUCCGGCCUGGGGUCUCUUGGCGUCUGUUUGCUCAACCAGGCACCAUGGGGAAGCGCGACAGUCGGGUGGCCUAUAUGAACCCAAUAGGAAUGGCCAGAUCAAGGGGUCCAGUCCAGUCUUCAGGGCCAACGAUCCAGGAUUAUCUGAAUCGACCAAGGCCUACCUGGGAAGAAGUGAAAGAGCAACUAGAGAAGAAAAAGAAAGGUUCCAAGGCUUUGGCUGAAUUUGAAGAAAAAAUGAAUGAGAACUAGAAGAAAGAACUAGAAAAACACAGGGAGAAACUGUUAAGUGGAAGUGAGAGCUCAUCCAAAAAAAGACAGAGAAAGAAAAAAGAAAAGAAGAAAUCCGGUAGGUAUUCAUCAUCUUCAUCAAGCUCUGAUUCUUCCAGCAGUUCUGAAGAUUCUGAAGAUGAGGAUAAGAAACAAGGAAAAUGGACAAAGAAAAAGAAGAACCAUGCACAUAAAUCUUCUGAAAGCUCUGUGUCAGCAACUGAAUCAGACAGUAAGGAUAGUUUAAAAAAGAAAAAGAAGUCAAAGGAUGCAACUGAGAAAGAAAACGACAUUAAAGGACUCAGCAAAAAAGAAAAAAAAGAUGUAUCCUGAACAUAAACCUUUAUCAUCUGAGUCCUUAUCAGAAUCAGAUUAUAUUGAGGAGAUAAGAGCAAAAAAGAAGAAAAGCAGUGAAGAACAAGAAAAGGCAACAGAAAAAACAAAAAAGAAAAAGAAACAUGAAACACAGUAAGAAGAAGAAAAAGAAGUCUGCUAGUUGAAGUCCUGAUUCACCUUAACAUUAAGAAAAAAAAUCAGGAUUCCCUUAUAAACGAAAGUGCAAUGUCUAAGGAAAUUUCAACUGUGAAAAUUAUGACAUUUUUACUAAAAUGCAUGAAUUUUCUUGUUUGUAGAAUUAUUCCUGGACUAUUCAGUAGCCACUCAGAUUCUGCUGUGUGAAAAGGCCAUAAUUACUGCCCGUUGCUUGAACAUCUAUUUUUUCUCUUCCAGUGCUUGAUAACUCUGGGAGAUAAUAUACUGCAGUUGUACUAGUGGUUAAGAUAUUUGGGAAUAAAAUUAAUAUUUUUGACUAGAAACAUCUAAUGAUAAAUCAACAGAAAUUGAAUCUGGGUACAUCUUUAAGAUGUAAUCAUAAAUGACCAGAUAACUCUAGUUAAAAUUUUUUAAGUAGGGGUUACAUUUAUAUUUCAAAAUCCUUACUCUGUAGAUAAGUGUAUUUUAAUUUUCCCCCUUAUAUACCUUUUAUUUACUUGGGGAAGGAGCUUUAGGGGGGUGGGGUGGUUUGCUAUCUCUUGAGCUAGCAGAAUAGCGUGCCCUUUGAUCCUCACACAUCCUGUUUGUGGACACAGUAGCCAUGUUUUAUGGGGAGGUCAGAGUUGGAUACCAGUAGUCUUGCCCUUUACUGGGCUUAGUGACACCUUGGAGUCUAUUGUAUGCUGCUUUGAGUGAAUCAGAGAAACAGCCCUUUGCAGCAUGAGAAAGUCCUAGAAGCUCUGGGAUUUACCUCCACUUCAAUAAUACUGAAUAUUUUUCAGUAUUAGAAUGUGUUAUGUCAUUUAAAUUCAUUUUGAUUAUGCUUUGGCUUUGGAGAGGAAUCAUUUCAAAUAGACACUGGUACUUUUUGAACUUGAUAGCUAAAGAUUCUAAAAUGCAUGUUUUAUACUGUUAAGUUUUAAUCAGUCAGGACAAUUUUAUGUAACCAGUGAUAGUUUAUUUUUUUGUAUGAAUUUUGUUUAGGCUGCAGUGUUUAGCUUUUGUUAACUCCUUACUUUACUCUUUUAAGUUCAUUGCUAUGUUUAACAGCAUACUUACCAAGAUAUUUAGCAUGUAAAACGUAGGGUUUUGAUUUUUUUUUUUAAUAGCUUCAUAUUGAAGCUGAGACUUAUCAUAAACAAGUUGAGUG